rnacentral:rRNA from 1 species
AGUGAACGCUGGCGGUAGGCCUAACACAUGCAAGUCGAACGGCAGCACAUUAAGCUUUUGCUCUUACGGGUGGCGAGUGGCGGACGGGUGAGGAAUACAUCGGUAUCUACUUUUUCGUGGGGGAUAAUGUAGGGACACUUAUGCUAAUACCGCAUACGUCCUACGGGUGAAAGCAGGGGAUCUUCGGACCUUGUGCGAUUGAAUGAGUCGAUGUCGGAUUAGCUAGUUGGCGGGGUAAAGGCCCACUAAGGCGACGAUCCGUAGCUGGACUGAGAGUAUGAUCAGCCACACUGGAACGGGGACACGGUCCAGACGCCUACGGGAGGCAGCGGUGGGGAAUAUUGGACAAUGGGCGCAAGCCUGAUCCAGGCAUACCGCGUGGGUGAAGUAGGAGUUCGGGUUGUAAAGAACUUUUGUUGGGAAAGAAAAGCAGCAGGUUAAUACCCCGCAGUACUGACGGUACCCAAAGAAUAAGCACCGGCUAACUUCGUG